UCGGGAAUAUUGCGCAAUGGAGGAAACUCUGACGCAGUGACGCCGCGUGCAGGAAGAAGGUUUUCGGAUUGUAAACUGCUUUAGACAGGGAAAGAAAAAGACAGUACCUGUAGAAUAAGCUCCGGCUAACUACGUGCCAGCAGCCGCGGUAAUACGUAGGGAGCAAGCGUUAUCCGGAUUUAUUGGGUGUAAAGGGUGCGUAGACGGGAAGACAAGUUGGUUGUGAAAUCCCUCGGCUUAACUGAGGAACUGCAAUCAAAACUAUCUUUCUUGAGUGCUGGAGAGGAAAGUGGAAUUCCUAGUGUAGCGGUGAAAUGCGUAGAUAUUAGGAGGAACACCAGUGGCGAAGGCGACUUUCUGGACAGUAACUGACGUUGAGGCACGAAAGUGUGGGGAGCAAACAGGAUUAGAUACC
rnacentral:rRNA from 1 species